AGGGGUUUAGGUUAAUAACCAGACCAAGAGCCUUCAAAGCCCUAAGUGGGAGUGAAGAAUCUUCCAACCCCUG
rnacentral:tRNA from 1 species